rnacentral:lncRNA from 1 species
AAUAUUGACAAAAAAGGAUGUUUAUGAUAUAAUUUAUAUUUAUAGGGGUAAUAUUACUAUUGACAAUUUUAAAGGGGUGUGUGUGAUAUUUUUAACAGUUAAUUGCAUACAACUCACUGAAAAUAUAAUGAAUUGCAAAUAUAUCCUUACAAAGUUUAAUUUUUACUCUUAUUCCUGCAAAAGUCUAAUGGUAUUUAUAUUUAUCCUUCUGAUUUGUUAUCAUUAGAGAAUUAUUUAUUUUUUAACAGUAGAUAAAUAAAAUAUCAAUUUUGCUAUCAUAAAUAUGACCCUCCAAAAGCCCCAACUGUUAUAAUCAUACAAAAAUGUCCUCCUAAAAAACUUUCAAUAAUCAUCAUCCGCCAUUGUUGCAACCCCUCCUCUUAUUCCUUUUUCUCUCAAAUCUUUUUUUUUAAGCAAAAUAAGAAAAAACCAUAGAGAAAAUUAAACAGGGAAGCAACACACGUUCAAGAUGGGUGAAGCAACAUGCAUCGUGGAUGAAUGGGGACGAAAAAAUUCUAAUUACGGGUUCGAAACUAGCAUGAAGGAGAAAUUGCUAGGGUUUUGAUUGAGAAAAGCAAAAUAUAAGAGAGAUAAAAAUAUCAAUUUACCUCAUUGACUAACCAAAGUUAAGUAUUUUAUCUAUGGUUAACUAAAUUUUUCUAACGGAUGCUAACGGUAGGAGCAUAUUUGAAAACAUUAGGCUUUUGCAGAAAUAAUAUAAGAAAGUUGAACUUUAUAGAGAUAUAUUUGUAAUUUGCUAUGUUUAUAAAGAGUGGUAUGCAAUUAACUCUAUUUUUAAAAUUUUGAGAGAUACAUUUGAAGUUGCUCGUGUAUUUUAGAGCGAUGUUGAAUUUAUAAUCCAUUUUGGGUUGUAAUUUUAUAACUAACCCAUUCGAAGUCUAUAUUUCUCCUAAUUGUCACAUUAUUUUUUUUAAUAUUAAAACCUAAUUUGGGUUUUUUAACCCUCAGGAUGGGAAGCAAUGCUAUAGAUACACCCUAAAGUGGAGUGUAUAUUUCACACCCACUUCAUCCUAGGCCAUUUUUGUCACAUCAAUUUUUUAAAAUUUUACUAAAAAUCAAUUCGAAUUUUAUCAACCCUAAGAUUGCGGGUAUAAGAUCAACACCUCCUUUUGGGGUAUAUAAGAAGCAUUUUUCAUCAUUUAAUUUCAAAAACUCGAGUUGUUCAAAAAAUACAAUCAAUUUAUUUUAAAUGUAUUGAUAUAGUACCCACAGGUCUCUAUUAUGAUUCGGUCCAAUCCAACCUCCCAUCACUUCUAACAUAAUUCAGUCCAACCUGAUCUCCUGCCAUUUUGGGUCUCCCAACACAAGACAUG